GGCUACCAUGCAGUCGAGGGGCAGCAUUUCAGUUUGCUUGCNAACUGGAGAUGGCGACCGGCGCACNGGUGAGUAACACGUAUCCAACCUGCCGAUAACUCGGGGAUAGCCUUUCGAAAGAAAGAUUAAUACCCGAUGGUAUAAUNAGACCGCAUGGUCUUGUUAUUAAAGAAUUUCGGUUAUCGAUGGGGAUGCGUUCCAUUAGGCAGUUGGUGAGGUAACGGCUCACCAAACCUUCGAUGGAUAGGGGUUCUGAGAGGAAGGUCCCCCACAUUGGAACUGAGACACGGUCCAAACUCCUACGGGAGGCAGCAGUGAGGAAUAUUGGUCAAUGGGCGCAGGCCUGAACCAGCCAAGUAGCGUGAAGGAUGACUGCCCUAUGGGUUGUAAACUUCUUUUAUAUGGGAAUAAAGUUUUCCACGUGUGGAAUUUUGUAUGUACCAUAUGAAUAAGGAUCGGCUAACUCCGUGCCAGCAGCCGCGGUAAUACGGAGGAUCCCGAGCGUUAUCCGGAUUUAUUGGGUUUAAAGGGAGCGUAGGUGGACAGUUAAGUCAGUUGUGAAAGUUUGCGGCUCAACCGUAAAAUUGCAGUUGAUACUGGCUGUCUUGAGUACAGUAGAGGUGGGCGGAAUUCGUGGUGUAGCGGUGAAAUGCUUAGAUAUCACGAAGAACUCCGAUUGCGAAGGCAGCUCACUGGACUGCAACUGACACUGAUGCUCGAAAGUGUGGGUAUCAAACAGGAUUAGAUACCCUGGUAGUCCACACAGUAAACGAUGAAUACUCGCUGUUUGCGAUAUACAGUAAGCGGCCAAGCGAAAGCAUUAAGUAUUCCACCUGGGGAGUACGCCGGCAACGGUGAAACUCAAAGGAAUUGACGGGGGCCCGCACAAGCGGAGGAACAUGUGGUUUAAUUCGAUGAUACGCGAGGAACCUUACCCGGGCUUAAAUUGCAUUUGAAUAUAUUGGNAAACAGUAUAGUCGUAAGACAAAUGUGAAGGUGCUGCAUGGUUGUCGUCAGCUCGUGCCGUGAGGGGUCGGCUUAAGUGCCAUAACGAGCGCAACCCUUAUCUUUAGUUACUAACAGGUCAUGCUGAGGACUCUAGAGAGACUGCCGUCGUAAGAUGUGAGGAAGGUGGGGAUGACGUCAAAUCAGCACGGCCCUUACGUCCGGGGCUACACACGUGUUACAAUGGGGGGUACAGAAGGCAGCUACCUGGUGACAGGAUGCUAAUCCCAAAAGCCUCUCUCAGUUCGGAUCGAAGUCUGCAACCCGACUUCGUGAAGCUGGAUUCGCUAGUAAUCGCGCAUCAGCCAUGGCGCGGUGAAUACGUUCCCGGGCCUUGUACACACCGCCCGUCAAGCCAUGAAAGCCGGGGGUACCUGAAGUACGUAACCGCAAGGAGCUCCUAGGAAAC
rnacentral:rRNA from 1 species